rnacentral:rRNA from 1 species
CGCGCCCCCAGGUCAGGG